rnacentral:lncRNA from 1 species
CAGGGAAUGCCGCUCCCCUCCGCCCUGGUCCCACCCUGCGCCAGCUCUGGCACCUGAGAUGCCCUUUGUGGGUGACCUCCAUGUGGAUGACGUUUGUGUGUCCAGCAGACACUCAGCAGGACCACAAAGCGCUUGAAGGGCCACCGGAGACGUGGGGAGAGACUUUGGGCCACGUGGACCUGCAUUUGAAUCCAGGUCUUUCUGGAAGCCGACCGCCUGCCUCGGAAGGCCCUUUCAGCCCUUGGAAAAUGGAGAGAGUGGACUCCUACCUGAGAUGAACCCUCUGCCCUCCCGUCCCUCCUUCUCCACGUGAGAGUACUCGCUGUGGCACCCGGGGAGACCGAGUUGGCCAGGAAAUGAGUGGCCAGUGGUGGGACUUCAGGCUGAUGCUGGCCGUGGGGGGGUUGAGGCUGGGGAGGCAAGAGCAAGUACGGGGGCCAUCUGGCUGCUGCAUUGGGAGGACUUUGCUUGGUGCUGGCAGGGAAAUCCCAGUUGGGAAGUUGGGAAGCACGAGAGGGACACAAGAGUGAUCUCUUAAAAGCCACCUGUGUCAUCUCAGGCUCAGGCCGGGGCGAGGCAGUGAGUGGCUCGGGCAGCUCCUGGGGGAGGGACAUUCUCCUGCCCCUAUGCAUCUAGGUGCCUGGCAUGGCCCUGAGUCCCGCCCCUGCCCGGUUCUGGCCCUUCCAGGUGGCUACUAUGGUUGGACACUGUAUUUUUCCUUGCAGAGCAGGAUGAUGACCUCCGUGCCCUGUGUAUGUGUCCAUCCCUCCUGCUCGGGACAGAGGCAGACCCUGCUUACCAGCUCCCUUUACCAGGGAAGCCUGGAGAGCAAGGGAGCAGGGGUGGGCAGGAGCAGGAGCGCCCAGGGGCAGGGGCCUCUCAGGACCACAGGCGGUUGGGGCUGCCAGGGGCAGCUGCAGUCAGGGGGCUAAGUGGACCAAGGGGGCCUCCAGGUUGGUUGGGUUUCAAGCACAAGGUGGUACCAAGGCCAGGGAAAGGCAGGCAGAUCUGACCGACCGCGGGAGGGCUGUCUGUGGUGCCCUUUCACCGAUGAUCGUGUGAGGCGACCCUUCACUGCCAAGUGGUGGUUUGUAGACAGGGGAAGCGACAGAUACUAUUUAUCAAGCGUCUUUACGUCUGUUAGCCGCGAGGAGGAGGGGAGACGCUGACAAGGCGCUCUGGGGUCGCCAUCUGUCCAGAACACAACCCUGGGAGCCUCCUGGGAGGCGGAGAACCACCCAGGCUCAAGACCACGCACGUCAUGACUCAUGCUCCCGAGUGUCCCCAAACCCGGGCGGACCCAGUGUCACGGGCUCCCCUGAGCUUCGUCCCUGGGAGAUGUUGAACAUACUGUGGCUCACAGAGCCUGUGGUUCUGUUCAGAGUGUGUUUAGCAAGCAGAGGUCUAGGUGUGAACGGCUGCCCCCCGGGGAGCUGGUGACCCUGGUGGCUUCGUCCCUGCCUUUGGAUCUCACUUUUCCCAUGUUCACGGCGUGGAGAGGACCAAGGGAGGACCCAGGAGGACCCACAUGGAACCAGUUUGGUCCACGGCUCUGGUUACACCUUUCUCAGUGAGUUUAACUGAGCACAUACAUCCCACCAGACCCCGUGCUAGCCACCGAGGACACUGACUUGUAGAUUCACUCAUUUCACGAACAUUUGCUAAGCUCCAACUGUAUGCCCGACAGACCCUGUGCUGGGCUCCCACCUGGCAAGGGAGAUAGACAUUAAAGCACCUAAAAAUAAGUAACCGAGCAAACUCCUCUAGAGCGCCGGCGCCCCAGGGCUCAGCCCAGAGGCCCACCCGGGGACCAUCAGUCCCUUCUACAGAUUACAGCCUGAGGCUCCGAGGGGUGAAGGCUGCUGCCAGGCCCCAGAGCUAGUGGGCUGCAGGGACACAGGCCCCGACUCCCCAGCCCACAUCCUUCCUGGCAGCACCUCUGCCUGCGUGAUUUCCACCACGAUGUCGAGGACAUCGGGCCGGACUGGUCAGGAAGAUGCAGGAUGCCCAGAGGGGCCCACUGCCCAGAGUCUCCAGGUGGGGAAGGGUGUACCUUCAGAGACACCAAGGAGGGGUUCAGGAAGAGUGUGCACCUGCCGGCAGGGAGGGGUGGCCGGCGUGUCCGAGCGUAGGUGUGAGUCUCUGCCUAUUUGUGGAAACGUGCGUGUGUGUGAGCUCAUCUGUGUUCGUGCGUUGGCAGGUGUCCCAUGGA